GAUGAACGCUGGCGGCGUGCCUAAUACAUGCGAGUCGAGCGAACAGACGAGGAGCUUGCUCCUCUGACGUUAGCGGCGGACGGGUGAGUAACACGUGGAUAACCUACCUAUAAGACUGGGAUAACUUCGGGAAACCGGAGCUAAUACCGGAUAAUAUAUUGAACCGCAUGGUUCAAUAGUGAAAGACGGUUUUGCUGUCACUUAUAGAUGGAUCCGCGCCGCAUUAGCUAGUUGGUAAGGUAACGGCUUACCAAGGCAACGAUGCGUAGCCGACCUGAGAGGGGGAUCGGCCACACUGGAACUGAGACACGGUCCAGACUCCUACGGGAGGCAGCAGUAGGGAAUCUUCCGCAAUGGGCGAAAGCUUGACGGAGCAACGCCGCGUGAGUGAUGAAGGUCUUCGGAUCGUAAAACUCUGUUAUUAGGGAAGAACAAAUGUGUAAGUAACUAUGCACGUCUUGACGGUACCUAAUCAGAAAGCCACGGCUAACUACGUG
rnacentral:rRNA from 1 species